UGGCUGCUACGCUUUUCUCCCAGCUCCCAUCAUCCAGAAGGGUCAGAGGAAGUUAAGAAAAUACGAGGACCCGGACAGGAACCGAAGAUCUCCAAAGUGUGCAGAGGCUGCUGGGUGCGCCACAGAGGUCAUGAAACCUCUUUUAAACCUUCUACCUGAGGUGGUAACAUCGAGCUCUUGGAGCGAGUUGGGUUUCCAGGCGUGGAUCUACACCACUCUGUUAGUGGCCAUGCUGUGCUGGUGACCUACAUACUGAAAAAUAGAGGAAGACUGGCACAGAUGUUAGCUCAGGGUGAAUCUUCCUCAGCAAAAAUAAAUAAAUGUUACAGAAGAGGUAGAAAUAUAUAAAUCUUCCUAUUUAACUCUUUCUUGCAGCCAUAGAGCUCCUCAGGAAAUUUGUCUGAAUUCAAGAGUCAAUGAAACGUGAUGUGCCACAAUCCUGGGGUGAAAUGCCAUGUCUUCUGUCCGCCAGUCACUGAGCUGUAAUGCAAUUGCUGUUUGAUGCUCUGAGCCCUAAGCAAUUUCCUCAGUCAUAGCUUCUUGAUUGAUAAGAAUGUGUAGCUUUGUUCAGUUACCGAGAGCUAUGAUAAUGGCAGAAAGCUUCCCGAAGUCACCUGUACACCAGAAAAUCCUUCGUUCGUUUACUCUCCUAACAAAGAUUUCAUCUUACUGGCCUUCAUAGCUUAGAAUCCUCCUUCGUUUCCCUCAAAAGCCUGUGCCGAAAGAACCCAUGUACCAUCCUUCCACCGGGGCAGCGUGUGGAGAAGGGUCUUUGAGGAGUGGUUCUUGA